AGCUUUGCGCAGUGGCAGUAUCGUAGCCAAUGGGGUUUAUCCGAGGCGCGAUUAUUGCUAAUAGAAUUUAAUUUUAAUAAACCAGUUUCCAUGUUCCAACUUAAUUUUACACAGUUAGUAGUCUUUAA
rnacentral:snRNA from 1 species